GUGCUCGCUUCGGCAGCACAUAUACUAAAAUUGGAACGAUACAAAGAUUAGCAUGGCCCCUGCGCAAGGAUGACGUGCAAAUUCAUGAAGCAUUCCACAUUUUU
ensembl:snRNA U6 U6 spliceosomal RNA